UACGUAGGGUGCAGGCGUUAAUCGGAAUUACUGGGCGUAAAGCGUGCGCAGGCGGUUUGCUAAGACAGGUGUGAAAUCCCCGGGCUUAACCUGGGAACUGCGCUUGUUACUGGCAAGCUAGAGUGUGGCAGAGGGGGGUGGAAUUCCACGUGUAGCAGUGAAAUGCGUAGAUAUCUGGAGGAACACCGGUGGCGAAGGCGGGAUCCUGGGCCAGUACUGACGCUGAGGAGCGAAAGCGUGGGGAGCAAACAGG
rnacentral:rRNA from 1 species